CGCAUGAAUAAUCGCGCGUGGAUGACGGUACCGUAAGAAGAAGCACCGGCUAACUACGUGCCAGCAGCCGCGGUAAUACGUAGGGUGCAAGCGUUAAUCGGAAUUACUGGGCGUAAAGGGUGCGCAGGCGGCCCCGCAUGUCAGGCGUGAAAUCCCCCGGGCUCAACUUGGGAAUGGCGCUUGAAACUAUGGGGCUGGAGUGUGGCAGAGGGAGGUGGAAUUCCAGGUGUAGCGGUGAAAUGCGUAGAGAUCUGGAGGAACACCGAUGGCGAAGGCAGCCUCCUGGGCCAACACUGACGCUCAUGCACGAAAGCGUGGGGAGCAAACAGGAUUAGAUACCCUGGUAGUCCACGCCCUAAACGAUGACGACUAGUUGUUGGGGGAGUUAAAUCCCUUAGUAACGCAGCUAACGCGUGAAGUCGUCCGCCUGGGGAAUACGGUCGCAAGAUUA
rnacentral:rRNA from 1 species